AGAAUUCUGAGGUGUACGCGAUGCCUACAAACAGUGUUGACCGAACAUUUUAUUAAAACAUUGGGAUUCUAAAGGAGAAAUUGCUGACAUGCCUUAUCAUUUGGAAGUCAAAUAUUUUUCUGGUGAAGCCCACCUGCUAAUAGCGGGUUCAACCUAAUAUGGCAUUCAACCGGCACCAUCGGAUUUCUU
rnacentral:other from 1 species